rnacentral:other from 1 species
CGAAUCCUGAUGUGUUCGCAACAUGCCAAUCAGUUUUGACCGAACAAUUUAUAUCGUCGGGAGUCUAACUUUUAUUACAAAUGACAUGCCUCCAUUGAGGACGUCAGGCAUAAUAAAGAGGACACCCACCUGCUGAGUGCGGGUUCAAAACGAUACGCUUUCAUUUGACGGCACGAUUGGGAUUCGU